AAUCAACGCUGGCGGCGUGCCUAACACAUGCAAGUCGAACGAGAAAAUCCGGUGUUGUAGCAAUACAAUACUGGGUGAGUACAGUGGCGACCGGGUGAGUAACACGUGGAUAACCUACCUUGGAGCGGGGAAUAACCCUGGGAAACCGGGGCUAAUACCGCAUAACACUUGGCGACUGCGGUUGCCGGGUUGAAACCUGGAAACGGGGCUCCUAGAGGGGUCCGCGGCCGAUUAGCUAGUUGGCGGGGUAACGGCCCACCAAGGCUGCGAUCGGUAGCCGGCCUGAGAGGGCGGUCGGCCACACUGGAACUGACACACGGUCCAGACUCCUACGGGAGGCAGCAGUGGGGAAUAUUGGACAAUGGGCGCAAGCCUGAUCCAGCGAUGCCGCGUGUGUGAAGAAGGCCUGCGGGUUGUAAAGCACUUUCAGUAGGGAAGAAAAGCGACGUGCUAAUAUCACUCGGUCUUGACGUUACUACUAGAAGAAGCACCGGCUAACUCCGUGCC
rnacentral:rRNA from 1 species